rnacentral:rRNA from 1 species
CAAUAGCGUAUAUUAAAGUUGUUGCGGUUAAAAAGCUCGUAGUUGGAUUUCUGCUGAGAACGACCGGUCCGCCCUCUGGGUGUGUAUCUGGCUCUUUCUUGGCAUCUUCUUGGAGAACGUAGCUGCACUUGACUGUGUGGUGCGGUAUCCAGGACUUUUACUUUGAGGAAAUUAGAGUGUUUCAAGCAGGCUUACGCCUUGAAUACAUUAGCAUGGAAUAAUAAGAUAGGACCUCGGUUCUAUUUUGUUGGUUUCUAGAGCUGAGGUAAUGAUUAAUAGGGAUAGUUGGGGGCAUUCGUAUUUAACUGUCAGAGGUGAAAUUCUUGGAUUUGUUAAAGGCGGACUACUGCGAAAGCAUUUGCCAAGGAUGUUUNCAUUGA